AGCCUGAGAUGCCCGUGUUACUCUGUUCAACAUUAUGACGAUGAUGAUGAUAAUUGAUAAAGAUAAAAAUAAAAAUCAAAAUAAAAAGAAAAAAUUGCCUUCAUUUAUUUAUUUAUCAUCGAGAAUUUUAUUUCAAGAGUUCUUUUUCAGAAGGAAACAUUUUGUGCUCCAAUUUGAUCGAUGUGAAGUUAAAAUAUAGGAUACCCAGAAAUUAAAAUGGUAACAAUAUGUUUUAAAGAUUCGUAAAUCAAAUAAUUUAGCAAAAAUCUUAUAAAAAUAACGAAAUUUUGGUGGCUUUGAAUUUAUAACAAAUAAAAUCUACGUGAGUGAAGAAGGAUAAUAACAAAAUAGAUAAGCAGACAACGCCCAGAUAUGGAUAAUCUACUGGGUCAAUAAAUUUUAUUUUCAGAAAUUAAAAGUAAAUAAAUUUUCAAUUUUUUUAGAACCCAGAUAUGGAAAAAUAAUCUGUACAGACAAAUAUACUGAACAAUUUUGAUAGUUUACAUGUAAACACGGAUUAAAGGGAACAUACCCAGAAAUGCAAAUCAGAUAAGCACAAAUUAAAGAAAAAUCUACAAUUUGCUGACUGAAGAUGUGAAAUGCAAAGCUAGAUUGUGAUUUACUAGACUAUUAAAAUAACUCGUGCGAAGUGUGUGAGGUUGAAAUUGUGAAUAGAGAAAUGGGUGGGGUUUAUAUUACCAGGAAACUGCUUUUCAAGGAGAU
rnacentral:misc_RNA from 1 species